AAAUGUAGGUACAUGUCAAAAAAGUGCUGCUAGCUAAAAUUACCGACACUUUUAAAAAGUGUUGCUAUAUGUGGGGUCGCUAGGUAUAUAGUGACAGUUAAAGAGUGUCGCUAUAACCUAAAAGAGUGCUACUAAUUUACGAACACUUAUUUAAACAUUUAGCAACCGCCGAAACUCUAUCUCGUUGGCUGCGGUGGCGGAGGAGGAUGACAGGAAAGGCUCUUCGUCUAGAAUUUCAGUGAACUGAGUGAAGAGAGAAGAAAAGAUGGUAAUUGAUUUUUCUUUUUUUUUUCUUUUCUGUUUGUAAUCGGGUCAAAUAGACUGAGUGUGGUGGGUUGAGUAGAGUAAUCUUUUAUUUUUGGUUGGAUUGGGCUUUAUAUUUAGGCAUAAGUAGAUGCUUUUUUAAGUUUUAGUAUAAAUGAGACACUUACUCAAAAGUGUCCCAAACAUGUGUCCCUAUAACCUAAUUCUGUUGUAGUGCAAAGCCUCAAAUUCUCCUUCAAAUCUCCUCCAAUCUCCUCCAAUCCACCUUG
rnacentral:lncRNA from 1 species